rnacentral:lncRNA from 1 species
AUGGGCAGGCCGGCGGUCGACUUGAGACCCUGGAAGGGUGCGACGGAGGUGGCCGAGGAAGCCAUCACAGUGGGGGCCAUGGUGUUGGAGGAGAGAAGGUGGCAGGCUACGCUUGAGGCCCCCAUUGCUGGGUCACCACGGUAUAUAUAGCCAUAUAUGGCCAGCUCCUAUCUUUAAUCAAGAUGUGGAAGGGGUGGCUGGCGUUCGUUGGUUGCCUGGUUUCCUUAUCUCUCCGGAUUAGUGCAAGAGGCAUGGCCGUUGGAUGAGUUGUGUGUGCUGCAAAUUUCAGUCGUCCAUGUCAUUGUGUGAUUGCCACAAACCCUUUUUUUCCAGCCUUGCAUGUACUGUAUUAUUCUUUUCAUUUCAUCUUGCUAAAGGUAACGCUUGAAAGGUGCACGAAGAACCUCCUUUGUUGAUUUGCGAUUUAAGUUCAGUGGCACAGGCAUAAGGAAUGUUAUAGUACAUCCUUUAUCCACUUCCAUAAUACAAACUUGUCAACCAAUUAUGCUUGCUUGUAAUCCUUGGUGCUUCAUUUUAUAAAAUUUUAUACAGGUAAUUAACAUAUAUUUGCUGCAUGUGUGAUGUGUGCCAUCAUGACCUUUGUUACGCAAUUCGUGGUCGGCUAUCACCAGCGUUCCGACUCACAUGCGUCAACCAGGCCCGACCAAAGAGCAACACCAACUUAUGAGAGGCCUUGGUCCCUCGCCCCCUCCCCAAAAAAAAGACUAGCCUGUUAGGAGGGGACACCCCGCCCUUAUAAAUCGUGUUAUGUCUCCUUCCACAACCGAUGUGGGACUAAACCCAACAAUCUCCCCCUCACACAUCGGUCAUCCAUGGGCCCUCUAACACCAGCAUUUCCAGCCCAGCAACCAUGACCGACUACCCAUGAGUUCACCGAGAUUUAUUCCGGGCACCUGGGCUCUAAUACCAAUUGUUANNNNNNNNNNNNNNNNNNNNNNNNNNNNNNNNNNNNNNNNNNNNNNNNNNNNNNNNNNNNNNNNNNNNNNNNNNNNNNNNNNNNNNNNNNNNNNNNNNNNNNNNNNNNNNNNNNNNNNNNNNNNNNNNNNNNNNNNNNNNNNNNNNNNNNNNNNNNNNNNNNNNNNNNNNNNNNNNNNNNNNNNNNNNNNNNNNNNNNNNNNNNNNNNNNNNNNNNNNNNNNNNNNNNNNNNNNNNNNNNNNNNNNNNNNNNNNNNNNNNNNNNNNNNNNNNNNNNNNNNNNNNNNNNNNNNNNNNNNNNNNNNNNNNNNNNNNNNNNNNNNNNNNNNNNNNNNNNNNNNNNNNNNNNNNNNNNNNNNNNNNNNNNNNNNNNNNNNNNNNNNNNNNNNNNNNNNNNNNNNNNNNNNNNNNNNNNNNNNNCAAAAAAAAGACUAGCCUGUUAGGAGGGGACACCCCCGCCCUUAUAAGUCGUGUUAUGUCUCCUCCCACAACCGAUGUGGGACUAAACCCAACAACCUUUAUGUCUUUUAUUCACAAUUAUUCAUUGGAACACCAAAGUGUUGUAUUAUUUUCUGCACAUAAUCAUUUACAUGCCUUGGAGGAUUUUUAGUAUUGGAAAUGCUAUUUAAUUAGGUGUCCAAGCAAGGUAUAACUUUGUUUUAAUCUAUGAGCUAAAGUUUUAGAUCCCUCUGUUAUCCAUCUACUCAGUUCAUGCCAUCCCCAGCGAACUCAUAAAUUACAUAUGGUGAGCCCAUCAUGAUUCAUCAUGAUUUUGUAACAUCAUUGAAUCUAGCCCACAAAAAAGGUAGAUGUAUGUUCAUUCAUUUCAUGAUGAUGAAGCAAGAUGCGAUCGACCGUGACCACUCAGUGAUUUGGCAAUCAUGUAGGAUGAAUAUCGUGAUCAUCUAGUCGUUCAAGAUAGAUGUCGUGAUCUUCUUGUGUGACUGUCUCAUAGAUUUGAGAUGCAAAUCGAAUCUUACAUUCUUUCAUUUCUUUUGCGAAUUUCCUGCAUGUAAGAUGAUAAAGCUGAGUUUGUAGUUAAUUAUUUUUUAUGAAUCCUUAAUGAUAAUUAACAUGGCCCAGAUAUUCACAAAAUAUCCAUAAUUAUCAUGAACGAAUCAAUAAAUUACUAUUGCAGAAUGAACCUUCCAUAGACCGCUCCACUUGGGCCUGUCGGUAGAGAGAUUCAUCACUCAUGGGCCGCAAAACGCCAGCCAAGUAGGAGGACCUUCACUAACGGGCCCUUAAGUUGGUCAUCAAUGGAGGGGCACCCAUGGGGCCCAAAGAUCCAACUGAAUGGAUGAUCCAUCUCUACUGACGGUCAUACCACACCACCCAUCAAUGUUGGGCGGCCCGUUAGUGCUAAAGUAAGGUAUUUCUAUCUACUGAAGAUGAAAUGGCCUUAUAUGCGCUUUCUCUUUCUCCUAAACAAAACCAUGCCAUCGCCCCCAAUCUAUUCCUCCCCAACGUCAUCACCACCUCAUCCAAUGUUUUCGUCUCCUUACAUGUGUGCCCCCUCCUUCUUCCACAUUGAUCUGGUCCAACGCUUGAAAGGAUCGAUAUGGUUGACUAGAGGGGGGGGGGGGUGAAUAGGCAACUACCAAUUUUUAACUUUUCUUUAUCAAAUUAAACUUUGCAUCAAAGUAGGUUGUCUAGAUGUGCAACUAGGUGAGCAACCAAUAUGAUGCAAUACCAACAAGCAAACAAGCAAGCAAGAGAAGUAACACUAAAGAGCUUGCACAAGUAAAGGUAAGAGAUAACCAAGAGUGGAUCCGGUGAAGACGAGGAUGUGUUACCGAAGUUCCUUCCCUUUGAUGGGAAGUAUGUCUCCGUUGGAGCGGUGUGGAGGCACGAUGCUCCCCAAGAAGCCACUAGGGCCACCGUAUUGUCCUCACGCCCUCACACAAUGCGAGAUGCUGUGAUUCCACUAUUGGUGUCCUUGAAGGCGGCGACCGAACCUUUACAAACAAGGUUGGGGCAAUCUCCACAACUUAAUCGGAGCCUCCCAACAAAACCACGAAGCUUCACCACAAUGGACUAUGGCUCCGUGCUGACCUCAAUCGUCUAGGGUGCUCAAACACCCAAAAGUAACAAGAUCCACUAGGGAUGAGUGGGGGAAUCGAAAAUCCCUUAGUGGAAGUGUAGAUCGGGGCCAUGUCAACCACUCCCGAGCAAAUCAACAAGUUUGAUUGGCUAGAGAGAUAGAUCGGGCGAAAAUGGAGCUUGGAGCAUUUAAUGGAGCUUAAGCAAUAAAUGAAGCUUGGGGGAGGAAGAGGUAGGUGGAAGAGAAGAAGGGGACUCCCUUUUAUAGUGGGGGCAACAAUCCAACCGUUGCCCCUCACCAACCAGCCCCGCACAGGGCGGUACUACCGCUGAGAGGGGGCGGUACUACCGCCAGUUCAGCGGUACUGCCGCGCCAGCCAGCGGCACUGCCGCGCAGAGGGGACUAGUAGGGAAUAGGACCCAAUGCGGUACUAUCGCGGUGGUAGGGCGGUACUACCGCUCCUGGAACGGUACUACCGCCUCUACAACUGCAACUAGUGCCGCAAAACCCGACACGAGAAAAAGACCCCUCGAGUCGAGGCGGUAGGAGCCACACAGCCCAGCGGUACUACGGCAGCAGGGUCACGGGCGGUACUAACGCCGUGGAGCGGUACUGCCGCUUGUGACCCUUCGGCCGUACUACCGCUGGUAGUGCAGUACUACCGCUGGGGCACAGAAGAGAGAGAGAAUCUCUCCAAAGAGGCUGAGGACGAGGCGGAGGUGCCAGGCACCCCAGCGGUACUACUGCUGUGGAGCCACGGGCGGUACUACCGCUGUAGAGCGGUACUGCCGCUUGUGGCUCCUCAGCGGUACUACCGCUGGGUUGCGCGGUACUACCGCUUGGACCCAGACAGGACAAGGAAGAGAGGAGAGAUCUCUACAAUGGAAUGGAAAAGCUCGGAGGGUGAGAAGCUGAUGUGUACGUGUUGAUUCCACUCAUGCAAUACCCCAGCGGACCCCCUCUUGAUAGUACGGUGCCCUCUAUGCAACUAGUCCACCGAGAAAGAAACGAAAGAGCUACACCGUCUUGAAAUACACUCCGAGGGGAAGAAAACGUCUCAUGCCAGGGAAGAAUCUGUGAAUUAUUCAAAGCACAAGAUUAGUCCGCAAACAUGUUGUCAUCAAUUACCAAAACUACCUUGAGAGAGAUAUGCCGUAACAAUCUCCCCCUUUUUGGUGGAUUGAUGACAACUAGGGAUUUGCGUAAGGAAAAGAAAUAAAAGAAGAAAACUCUGAUACAAAAUAUAGACGGGCUCCCCCAGAAUGUGUGCACCUAGAUAGUGGAGCAUUCGGAGCAAGACACACACAUUCGGAUUAACACUCCCCCUAUAUUUUAUAGUCUAACAAUACUAAGCACAAGAUAUAUGAGAGAAGAGAAUAAAACAGGACAAGCAUGCAUCUCAUAAUAAACUACAGUACUGAAUAGACAUAAGUAAUAAGGUAGCGAUAGGGAGCAUAUGUCUCACACCAUAUGUCUAGAACUUAGGUCUCACAGGCACCAAACCAAACCAAAUAAAGACACCGAGAGAACACACAAGAAACCACAAGACGACUCAAAGCACGGCAAUAACACAAAUCCCUACACUCUCUCCCCCUUUGGCAGCGAGACACCAAAAAGGGCAAAGAGUGAUGCUACGACUCCAGGUGAAGGGAAGAUGAAGAUCUCGAACAUCACAUCUCUGCAUCUUCAUCGUGGGUCGAAAACUGCUCGGCAUCGAAGUCGGUCCAAGGGCAAUGCUGAUGAACCCAUUCCUCCUCUUCAGUGAUCUGACCCUCAGACCCACUGGCAACUAUCGCUCCCAUCUAACGCAUGAGCUCCUUGUGGUGUGUCCUGGCAUGCUUCUUUGCCACAUGAGUCAUGUACUGACCAUGAGACUCCGUGCAGAAAAGCUUCUUCAUCUUGCGUUUAAGCUUCUGUGCCCACGACGGUUCUGUACUAGAGGGCCCAAAGUCCUCCUCAUGAUCAUCAGUAGCAGCCCCACCCUCGGUCCCCAUGGCAGCAGCAGCAGCAGCAGAAGGAUCCCCCAUGGCAGUAGCAGCAGACGGACCCCCUGUGUGAGGCGCUGGGGUUGAUACGGCGAGCUUGAUGCUCAGAAUGGUCAUCACCUGGAGCCAAACACAAGAACACGCAAAACAACCAGAAAGAACGAGCAUAAGCUAACAAACACAACAAAAAUAAUCAAGGUAAGGUAGGAAUUUGAUGGAAUUUGUCAUGCAGCGGUAGUACCGUGACAUGCCCACGGUAGUACCACCCAAGCGGUAGUACCGCCCCAAAGAGAGCGGUAGUACCGCUCGAGGUCAAGCGGUAGUACCGCUCCAACGAGAGCGGUAGUACUGCUCGAGGCGGAGAAACCGCAGUUACCUACAGCACAAGGCGGAGAAACAGCGGUUUCCUACUACCGUGGUCAGAUCCGGCACUAUCGGCCUGCCAAAUUCAAAAAUAUUCCUACCAAACUCUAAUCGAGAUAGUCUAGUUGCCUUCUCCAACCAACUCAAGCCUAGAUUUAGCCAAAAAUCUAGAGAUGCAACCACCAUUGCCCCUAAGAAACAAGAUCUGAAAACGAGACAAAAGGAAAGAAGGAACGGGGGCAAUACCGGCAUCCAUGGCAAGAGAACGGGGUGGGGAUCGACUCCACCAAAGGAAAUGGAGAGGGACACCCCGGAGAUGGAGAUCCGCCGGAGCCCUCCCGCAACGAGUGGAGGCUGGAGAGAGGAAGAGGAAAGAGGGGGCGAAGUGAAUGGGUAUGGGGGAGAAGAAACCUCCCCCUACCCCGAUAUAACCCCCUGGUCCCGUCCCUCAGCGGUAGUACCGUGCUGGGGGCGGUAGUACCGCUUAUGAGCGGUAGUACUACGCACCACCAGCGGUAGUACCACCCAGCACGCCACGGCAACCAAACAAACAAAGCUUUUGCUCGAAGGAAAGACAAAAACGGCAAGAAAAGAGCACACCAGCAAACGACCAAGACACACCUCUCAAAAGAGGGCGGUGGCCGAGGCCACCUAUGUUUGAGUCAAAAGGUAUGGCGCCGCGAAUAUUUUAACCUUGGGCCCAUGACCAAAACUUGUCUUUGAAGCACAAGUACCAUCAACAAUGGCUAAAGUGAAAGACUUGAUCAAUUUAUGCAUAAUGGGGGGAGGGAGAGUUCAUUGAGAGAACAACACUUCCCCUAUGUCCAUGCGUACACCUAAACUAGACAACAAAUUGAGCGUGGUGGGGUGUGCAAGGGUUCAAGCCACAUUGCUCGAAUCAAUGAUAUUUAGCUCAUGCCUUAACUCGCGAAAUCUUGCUUCAUCCAAGGGCUUCAUGAAAAUAUCUAAGAGGUUGUCAUGAGUGUUGACAUAGUUGAGCUCGAUCUCUCCUCGCCUAAUGUGAUCCCGGAUGAAGUGAUACUGAAUCUCAAUGUGCUUCGUCUUGAAGUGUUGCACCGGGUUGAGAGAGAUCUUGAUGGCACUUUCAUUGUCACACCAAAGAGGCACUUUGUCACAAGUGACACCGUAAUCCUUUAAAGUUUGCCUCAUCCAUAGGAGUUGUGCACAACAACUACCGGCGGCAACAUACUCCGCCUCGGUGGACGAGAGAGACACACAACUUUGCUUUUUGGAAGACCAACUUACCAAAGAGAAACCAAGGAAUUGGCACCCUCCGGAAGUGGACUUCCUAUCCACUUUGUCUCCCGCCCAAUCGGAAUCCGAGUACCCUACAAGCUUGAAGUUUGAUCCUCUUGGGUACCAUAAGCCAAAGUUUGGGGUAUGAGCCAAAUAUCGAAAGAUUCGUUUGACCGCCACAUAGUGACUUUCCUUAGGUGCGGCUUGAAACCGUGCAUAAAUUCCCACACUCAACAUGAUGUCCGGUCUAGAUGCACAAAGGUAAAGCAAGGAUCCAAUCAUGGAACGAUAUACCUUUUGAUCCACCACUUUACCAUUGGGAUCUAAGUCAAGUUGGCACUUGGUGGGCAUUGGAGUGGAAGCCGGCUUGACGUCACUUAGCUUGAAUCUCUUGAGCAUGUCUUGAGUGUAUUUGGAUUGAUUGAUGAAGGUUCCUUCUCUUCUUUGCUUCACUUCGAACCCUAGAAAGAACUUCAACUCUCCCAUGGAGGACAUCUCAAACUUUGAGGUCAUGAGAGCGGCAAAUUCCUCAUUGAAAGCUUUGUUAGGAGAACCAAAGAUAAUAUCAUCAACAUAUAAUUGGCACACAAACAACUCCCCUUUGACCUUCUUAGUAAAAAGAGUGGGGUCGAUUAGCCCAACUUCAAAACCACGGUCUUGUAACAACUCGGUAAGGUGGUCAUACCACGCACGUGGGGCUUGUUUAAGGCCAUAGAGUGCCUUAUUGAGUUGAUACACAUGAUCGGGAAAGUAGGGAUCCUCGAACCCGGGGGGUUGCUUGACGUAAACCAAUUCAUUAAUAGGACCAUUAAGAAAAGCACUCUUCACAUCCAUUUGUUGUAACUUAAAGUUAUGAUGAGAAGCAUAUGCAAUCAACAUGCGAAUGGAUUCAAGACGAGCAACGGGAGCAAAGGUUUCACCGUAGUCGAUACCCUCGACUUGGGAGUAGCCUUGUGCUACCAAACGAGCCUUGUUGCGAAUGAUAAUCCCAUGGGCAUCUUGCUUGUUCUUAAAUAUUCACUUGGUUCCUAUGACAUUGUGAUUCCCGGUUGGUCUUGGCACCAAUCUCCACACUUUGUUGCGCUCGAAGUUGUUGAGUUCUUCAUGCAUGGCAUUGAGCCAAUCCGGAUCUUCUAGCGCUUCAUAGACCUUGUGGGGUUCCACACAAGAGACAAACGUGUGAUGCUCACAAUAAUUUGCUAAUUGUCUACGAGUGCUUACCCCCUUUCUUAAGCUUCCAAGCACAUUCGUCAUGAGAUGAUCCUUGGUGGAGAGCUUGGAAGCAACCUUGGCAGCACGACGCUCUAAUUCCUCCUCGAGGGUAAGACGAGGAGUGGUCACUUGAUCAUCUUGAGCGUCGUCUUGGGCUUGUUCUUGUUCUUGAACUUGCUCGGAGGAGAGAACUUGACCUUGGGCAUCACUUGAUGUGUCAACACCGUCUUGAGCGUGAUCUUGCCCUUGGUCAUGUUCUUGAAGAUGAGGGCCUUCAUGUUGAACUUCGGAAGCGUGUGGGCCUUGGGUUGGUGGUGGCUCCACUUGAGUGGAGCUUUGUCCUUUUCCUUCGGCCAAAAGGGGUUCCUCAAUGGGUAGGAUAAAGCCAACACACAUUCUUCUUAUGGCUAGGGGAGGAAUUUCAUCACCUACAUCACAAGUGCCACUUUGCUCCACUUGGGAGCCGUUAUUCUCAUCAAACUCCACGUUACAUGUCUCCUCAAUAAGUCCCGUGGAUUUAUUAAGGACACGGCAAGCAUGAGAGUUUGUAGCAUAGCCAACAAAUAUCCCCUCAUAAGCUCUAGCCUCAAAUUUAGACAACCGAACACCUUUAUUGAGAAUGAAACACUUACACCCGAAUACCCGGAAGUACUUGAGGUUGGGCUUGUUACCGGUGAGUAUCUCGUAUGGAGUCUUGUUCAAGCCCUUGCGGAGGUAGAGCCGAUUGGAUGCAUGACACGCGGUGUUGAUGGCUUCGGCCCAAAAGUUGUACGGAGACUUGAACUCCGCCAUCAUGGUCCUUGCUGCAUCCAUCAACGUCCGGUUCUUCCUCUCUGCAACACCGUUUUGUUGAGGGGUGUAGGGUGCGGAAUAUUCAUGCUUGAUUCCCUCAUCACUAAGAAACUCAUCCAAGGUGUAGUUCUUGAACUCGGUGCCGUUGUCACUUCUUACUGUCAAGAUCUUUGCAUUGUGCUGACGUUGUGCUUCAUUUGCAAAGUCAAUGAUGGUUUGUUGGGUCUCGCUCUUCCUCUUGAAGAAAUACACCCACGUGUACCUUGAUAGUCAUCCACAAUCACCAAGCAAUACUUCCUACCUCCAAGACUAUCAAAGGAUGGAGGCCCAAAGAGAUCCAUGUGAAGGAUCUCCAAAGGCCUCUUCGAAUAAAUGAUAGUCGUGGGAGGGUGAGCCUUCUCAUGUAGCUUUCCUUCAAUACAGGCACUGCAAGCACGAUCUUUAGCAAAACUAACAUUCGUUAGUCCACGGACAUGGUCCCCCUUGAGAAGACUUUCCAAAGAUCUCAUAUUGACAUGGGCUAAACGGCGAUGCCAAAGCCAUCCCACAUCAACUUUAGCCAUUAGGCAUGUCGCGGUCUUAGUGGGUCGCUCCGAAAAGUUAAUCACAUAUAGACCGUUCUCGACAUGCCCAACAAAGGCUACUUUAAGAGUCUUGCUCCACAAGAGGGCCACGGUAUCGAUAUCAAAGAAAGUGGCAAAGCCCAUGAUUGCAAAUUGACGAACGGAAAGUAAAUUGUAUGCAAGGGACUCAACAAGCAUGACCUUCUCGAUCGUGAGAUCAUGAGAGAUGACCACCUUGCCAAGUCCCAAUACCUUAGAGGAUGAGGCGUCACCCCACUCGACAUUGGUGGGCAUAGAUGGAACCUUGUGCAUGUACACCACCAAGUCCUUGCUUCCGGUCAUAUGAUUUGUAGCUCCGCUAUCGAGCAACCAUGAUCCCCCACCGGAAGCAAACACCUACAAGAGAUCAUUGCUUGGCUUUAGGUACCCAUUUUGUAAUGGGUCCUUUGAUGUUAGUAACAAGGGUUUUUGGAACCCAAAUAGACCAUUCAAUGUAUUUAUGAGGAGAACCAACAAAUUUGGCAUAAACAUGCCCAUCACUAGCACGGCAUAACACAUAAGAAGGAUUAAAAUCGCUGGCUUUGUUGGGAGGGGUGACAUUGCCCUUCUUGACAUUGUUCUUCUUCUUCUCCUCGUAGGCACUCUCUCCCUCCUUCACAAAGGUUUGCAUGAGAGGAGGAGGUCGUUUGGUCUUGUCAUUCUUCUUCUUGUUCUUGGAGUCGGGCACGUACCCAACCCCUUCCUUGGCCACAACUCCCUUUUGGUUGAUCAAGAGAUCGUUGAGGUUCUUCUUGCCUUGUAUGCAAGUCGCAAGACCUCUCUCAAGUUACCCCUUUAGCUUAGCGUUCUCCUCAACGAGAUGCACAUGCUCACAACACGGGUUAGUAGCAUUUGCAUUAUCAAUUAACAUCAUACGAGGGAAAGUGGUUUUUUCCUUGGUUAGCUUUACUUGAAGUUGAUCAUGAGACUCUUUGAGGCUAGCAUGAGCACCCUUCAAGACCUUGUGAGCCUUGUCAAGUAUAUCAAACUCCUCUUUGAGUCUAGCAAGAACCUCAAGUUCGGCCUUUUCGGAGCUUAGCACAUAAGAAACUAUGAGGACAUGAUCAUAAUCUUUCUUUAACUUAGCAUGAUCAACGUUGUGUGACUCCUCAAGAGCCAAGCGAAGACCACGCUCUUCCUCAAGAGCAUUAGAAAGAUCCAAAAUCUCAUCGGCACAGUCACGACUAUGCCCUUCCAUCUUAGUGAUGGUGUCUUCGUGAGCCUCGAUCAUGUCAUUGGCUUCACCAAGUUGUUCCAAGAGAGCAACAAAGUGCUUCUUGGAUUUUCCCUUGAGUUUGCCCAUAAAGGCCUCAAACUCGUUAGCCUCCACAUUAGCUCCCUCAAGUUCAUUAAUGCUAUCCGUCGGAGAAGGAUGAUUAAUGAUGGUAGUUUUGAUAUUGGGGGUUACCUUGUUGGUGGCUUUAGCCAUGAGGCACUUGGAGGUGGUGCUCUCAUUGGAUGAGUCGAAGAGAGACACCCGUGAAGUCGUCGCAAUGGCAACGGAGGCCAUGGCAACCGACUCAUCAUCUUCAUCAUCAUCAUCAUCCUCAUUGUACUCUUCUUGUACAACCAAUGCCUUGGGAGGAGUCUUCUUGGUGAAGUUGUUCUUGUUGGGGAACGACUUGGCCUUGUCUUUUCGGAUGAGCUUGCCACCAUUGUCUUCCUUCUUCUCAUACGGGCAUUCCGCAACAAAAUGACUCACGUUGCUGCAAUUGUAGCAAGUCCUUACACGUUGCUUGCCCCUCGUGCCACUCGAGUUGUUUUUGCUAAAGUUUGGCCUCGAGUUUUUCUUGCUCCAAAAUUGCCUUGAAGCAAGUGUCAUGUGUUCAUGAUAUGCAUACUUCGUAUCUUCGGGGUUGCUCUCCUCUUCUUCCUCUUCUUCUUCUUCAACGGUGAGCUUGGCCUUCAAUGUAAGGUUAGGCUUCUUUGCCCGUUGAGAACGGAGCACCGCAUUGUCGGCGGUCUUGUCCAAAAUGUUCAUGGCCACAAACUCAUCCAACACUUCGCUUGAGGUCAAAGUGUGGAAGUCCGGUCUUUGACGAAUGACGGAGGACAUGGCCUUAUGGUAGGGCAUCAUUGCCUUGAGGAAUUUGCGCUUGAUCCAAUUGUCAUCCGUGUCCUUGCUCCCGUGAUCUCGUAGUGAGACCGCGAGUUUGGUUACUCUCCGAUAAAGCUCAUGAGGUUCUUCAUCUUCUUUCAUAGCAAACUCAUUGGCCUCAUCUUGCACCACUUCAAAGUUGGAGCGUUGAAUGCUUGCGCUUCCCCAGUAGAGAGAGACAACACAAUGCCAUGCAUCUUUGGCCAAGGCGAAGGGACAAAGAUGAGGUAGGUCUUCGGGUGGAAUUGCAUCUUGAAUGAUAAAGAGAGCAUUCUCAUUGAAUUGAUUAUCCGCGGCUUCUCGAGGAGUGAAGUUGCUUGGAUCAUGCGGAUAAAAACCUUCUUCAAUGAUUCUCCAAAGGUUAGUGUUCACAUGAUUUAAAUGACGUUUAAAGCAGUAAACCCAAGAAUCAAAGUCCUCAUUUUUCACAAUCUUAGGGGGAGGACCGGCAUGAUUCAAAUGAGUAGAAGGAAACGGUCCACCAUAAACAAGUGGUGGUUCCACAUGAGCAAAGAUGUCGGUGCCAUUUUUACCACUAGAAGAUGGAGCCUUUUCACUACUAGCUUCCCCCUUGUCAGGGAUAGCAUCCGUCACCUUGUUGGUGGGAUCACACACUUUCAACGGUGCGAUGGAAAGUUUAAGCCCCUCAAGAAAUUUAGUAAACAUGCUUUCAACCUCGGUCUUCAUGGAGGUCUUCAAUGUCUCUAAGGCCAUAUUGAAUUCCUCACGAGAGAUCGAGGUUCCCCCAUCGCCCGUGGACGAGAUCGGAUUCACACCGGAGUGUUCCUCCACACCGUCUACGGUAUCAACCAUACUCUUUGGACGGUAAAGUCCUUAAUAAAGAGACGAGGCUCUGAUACCAAUUGAAAGGAUCGAUAUGGUUGACUAGAGGGGGAGUGAAUAGGAAACUAGCAAUUUUUAACUUUUCUUUAUCAAAUUAAACUUUGCAUCAAAGUAGGUUGUCUAGAUGUGCAACUAGGUGAGCAACCUAUAUGAUGCAAUACCAACAAGCAAACAAGCAAGCAAGAGAAGUAACACUAAAGAGCUUGCACAAGUAAAGGUAAGAGAUAACCAAGAGUGGAUCCGGUGAAGACGAGGAUGUGUUACCGAAGUUCUUCCCUUUGAGGGGAAGUACGUCUCCGUUGGAGCGGUGUGGAGGCACGAUGCUCCCCAAGAAGCCACUAGGGCCACCGUAUUCUCCUCACGCCCUCACACAAUGCGAGAUGCCGUGAUUCCACUAUUGGUGCCCUUGAAGGCGGCGACCGAACCUUUACAAACAAGGUUGGGGCAAUCUCCACAACUUAAUCGGAGGCUCCCAACAAAACCACGAAGCUUCACCACAAUGGACUAUGGCUCUGUGGUGACCUCAACCGUCUAGGGUGCUCAAACACCCAAGAGUAACAAGAUCCGCUAGGGAUGAGUGGGGGAAUCAAAAAUCCCUUGGUGGAAGUGUAGAUCGGGGCCUUCUCAACCACUCCCGAGUAAAUCAACAAGUUUGAUUGGCUAGAGAGAUAGAUCGGGCGAAAAUGGAGCUUGGAGCAUUUAAUGGAGCUUGAGCAAUAAAUGGAGCUUGGGGGAGGAAGAGGUAGGUGGAAGAGAAGAAGGGGACUCCCUUUUAUAGUGGGGGCAACAAUCCAACCGUUGCCCCUCACCAACCAGCCCCGCACAGGGCGGUACUACCGCUGAGAGGGGGCGGUACUACCGCCAGUUCAGCGGUACUGCCGCGCCAGCCAGCGGCACUGCCACGCAAAGGAGACUAGUAGGGAAUAGGACCCAACGCGGUACUACCGCGGUGGUAGGGGCGGUACUACCGCUCCUGGAACGGUACUACCGCCUCUACAACCGCAACUAGUGCCGCAAAACCCGACACGAGAAAAAGACCCCUCGAGUCGAGGCGGUAGGAGCCACACAACCCAGUGGUACUACGGCAGCGGGGUCACGGGCGGUACUACCGCCGUGGAGCGGUACUGCCGCUUGUGACCCUUCGGCCGUACUACCGCUAGUAGUGCGGUACUACCGCUGGGGCACAGAAAAGAGAGAGAGAAUCUCUCCAAAGAGGUUGAGGACGAGGCGGAGGUGACAGGCACCCCAGCGGUACUACUGCUGUGGAGCCACGGGCCGUACUACCGCUGUAGAGCGGUACUGCCGCUUGUGGCUCCUCAGUGGUACUACCGCUGGGUUGCACGGUACUACCGCUUGGACCCAGACAGGACAAGGAAGAGAGGAGAGAUCUCUACAAUGGAAUGGAAAAGCUCGGAGGGUGAGAAGCUGAUGUGUACGUGUUGAUUCCACCCAUGCAAUACCCCAGCGGACCCCCUCUUGAUAGUACGGUGCCCUCUACGCAACUAGUCCACCGAGAAAGAAACGAAAGAGCUACACCGUCUUGAAAUACACUCCGAGCGGAAGAAAACGUCUCGUGCCAGGGGAGAAUCUGUGAAUUAUUCAAAGCACAAGAUUAGUCCGCAAACAUGUUGUCAUCAAUCACCAAAACUACCUUGAGAGAGAUAUGCCGUAACAAUGCUGCCGUCUCAUUCCCGCGAUCAUCGUCACUACUCUUCGAUUACUCGUGAUGGCGCGGGUUGUGGCUUCCCGCUUGCUCUCUCAUAAGAGUGGUUGGGUAAACCCCAAGUGUAAGGACAGAGUAACCUAGUAAUAAGCAUUUUCCUCGAUAGGUUUAUCGAACCAGUAGGAAUUUAUUUCACAACCCAAGUCCUCGGUACCUGCACACCAAACACAAAACAAUCUUGCCCCCAAUGUUUCAAGAAGGUUGUCAAGCUUCUUGUCCUGCUAGUUACAGGGAUUAGUUGUUAGUUGAAAGCAAAUAUCGGUUGCUAAGUAGCCUUAGUGCGGUUCGUACCUUCAAAUCUGGCAUGGCACUGUCAACACUAUACUUGCCAUGCUUAGGGUUCACCCUUUUUAUAUACAGUAAGAUUAGCCUAGGUGCUUCGUGUCGUACUGGCACUAAUCCAGCCAUCAAUAUAAACGAAAUGCCAUCCAUAAUUUCAAAGCUUAGUUGUUCAAGUACAAAUCUGAUAUGGUACUAAUAUUAGUUUAAAAUAGACAUAGGUAGUUGGUCAGCCAAUGUUCCUUCUUGAGUUUCAAAAUACAUGUACACCACUUAUAGAGAGACAUGAGUGAAUAUUAUUUUUUGUGUGAUCUCGUCCAUCAUGGAUGGGCAACGAACAUUGCAUUGUAUAGAAAGAAGGGUUAUAACCACCUUUUACAUAGAUGGUGAUUUGCCUACGUGCUUUGUGUCGCAAUAGCAACACUCCACCCUUCAAGCUAAACAACAUGUCACUCAUAAUUUCGGAGCUUAUUUGUUCAAAUACGAAUUUGAUCGAUACUGAUAUUAGUUAAACAGACACAUUUAAUUGUCAGCUGAUGUUCCUACUUCAGUUUUGAAAUGUUUGUCCGCCCCUUAUAGAGAGACAAGAGAGGUUUGUAUUUCUCUAUGCACUCUGGUCAUCAUGGUUGGGGGAUGAACUUUGUAUAUCAUAUAGUUUGAAACUAUCAUCUACCAAGAAUCAUCACUUCUGGAGAUCUCAACUGGGAGCCUUGUUUAAGUACUAGGGCCAUAUUAUAUUAAUGCACGCACCAAAUUACAACUCACAUAGCAUCUCUGGGCAGACUUCCAGAGAUAGUACGCAUGGGUUUAUAAGGAGGCACUAUUGGGGUAGAAUCCGCGAUGCAUUUGUGACACCCCGAUUCGGAGAACUGGAGGUCCCCGCGUUCCAGCCCAGAAAUCCAUUCUUCUGGAACACGACUAUAGCUUGGUACAGAAAGACCAAAAUAAAUAAGUACUUAUGUAGAUUAAGGGGACACGUCUAAGUGUCAGAAGCUCGACGACUUUAUUCUACGAGUGACUUAAGGAAGUACUAAAGACGAAAAUAAUACUAAUGACACAACGGAAGACGGGGUACCGGCGGGGCUCCAAUCCAAAGAGACACUGUUGGGACACCAUCUAGUCCAGGUACACGAACUCUUCGGGGAACUCUUCUAUCGGCUAUCUAGUAUCUAGCCUGAUAAGCCAUGUGAGUACUUUGAAUGUACUCGCAAGCUCAAAAACAAUCCAAAGCAAGCAUGAACAACGCAAAGAAACAUAGCAACGAAGUAAAGACUAGUAAAGCUACUACUAUCAAGACUACUUCAUAAACUUCUCGUCUGCUCGUUUAACGUCCACUAGACCUCUUCCUGGAACGAGUCCUGCUCAAACGACUCGUCAACAUAAGUUACCUGUUACCACAGUUAUUAGAGUUUAAAGUAAAGGAAUUUGGGUACUUGGUCAAAUAGUGUGACCUAACACAAAUGGUGUCCCAUUGUCGGAGACUCAGCUAUUCGAAUAGUUUCAACACACACUCUGCAAAGGUCACACACUUUAAUUUACGAACACCAUAGACUCUUUGUCUAACGAAUCUCAUUUAUAGCAUGGCACUCUAACUAUUCCUCUGACCUCCUACAGGCUAGCCCUGGGAGAGAGGAUCUGGGUCCUUGCCAUCCCAUGUGGCACCACUUGUAUUCCCUUGGGAAUAUUUUCUGUUGAGCUCAUCCACAGACCCAGACUAUCUUGACUAAAUGGCAACUUCCAAGCCAGAGGAAGCCUACACAUUCUAGCUUCCGUCUUCGGAGACACAUGAAACAUACAUAACUACAAACGGAAUAAGGCCCUCCCAUUCGGGAAGAUGUGGCUAUACUGAGGUUGUUCCGCUUCGUGGCACUUGGAUUGACCAGCUAUUUAAAGUUGGGUUAAGAAGGAAAGUAAAACCAUAACUUUGUACUAGCUACUGAAAUCCACAACUUGUUAUCUUACUAGGGUGAAGUAUUCAUGAGGAUUCAUCAUCCUAAGUAAAGGCUUUCCCCAAGAACCUUCAUGAACGUUGCUACCUAUUUAGCUUAUGAUUCAUGUUCGCAAAAUAAUUACCGGUUACGAGUCAUAGUUAAACUUCUAUUCCACUAGGACCAAAUAAAGGUAUCCUUUCUAGUGACUCACUAUGCUAUUUCAACCACAACAAACUUGACAUAAGCAAAGGGAAGCAACAAAUAACAAUGAAAGAAAAGUAAUGCGGGAAAAGAAAUGCAAGUUGAACCCAUGGCCUUGCAAUGCCAUCAAGUUGAACCUAUAGUGCUAUAGCCAUGGCUCACGCUCAUGUAUUGCAUGGAGCUGAAAAUGCUGAAGCGCCUUAGAAGUACGAUCCAUUUGCCUGGUUUGACACCGGGGUGCUCAUGAUUUAUAUUUAUGCAAUGAAGGCGGAGUCAUGACAUGCUAACAUGAUAAAAAUGAGUGGGGAUAACAUUCGUUAAGGAUCGUAUAUUUUGAAAAAGUAAUGAUUAUGUUUCUUAUAUUCAUGGAUAUUAUUAUGUUGAUAUUGUUACUUCAUUCUUUCUCAAUAACUAUACCAUAAAGAGAUUACAUGAUACACAUGUUAGGUAGCAUUACACAUCAAAAAUUCUGUUUUUAUCAUUUACCUAUUCGAGGAUGAGCAGGAAUUAAGCUUGAGGAUGUUGAUUCGUGUCCAACGUAUCUAUAAUUUUUUAUUGUUUCAUGCUAUUAUAUGAUCAAUAUUGGAUGCUUUAUAUGCAUUUUUAUACUAUUUUAUAUCUUUUUUGGACUAACCUAUUAUUUUGAAUUUUUUUGAAUUGUUUGUAUUGCUUACCACACGUGUCACGUGGUUUGGGACUAACCUAUUAACCCAAUGCCCAGUGCUAGUUCAUGUUUUUUUCUUGUUUUUUGCUCUUCAGAAAAUCAAUACCAAAUGAAGUCCAAACAUGAUGAAACUUUACAACAAUUUUUUCUGGACCAGAAGGGGCCCUAGAAGGUUUGGGAGGAGGCUAGAAGAUCUACGGAAGAGCCACGGNNNNNNNNNNNNNNNNNNNNNNNNNNNNNNNNNNNNNNNNNNNNNNNNNNNNNNNNNNNNNNNNNNNNNNNNNNNNNNNNNNNNNNNNNNNNNNNNNNNNNNNNNNNNNNNNNNNNNNNNNNNNNNNNNNNNNNNNNNNNNNNNNNNNNNNNNNNNNNNNNNNNNNNNNNNNNNNNNNNNNNNNNNNNNNNNNNNNNNNNNNNNNNNNNNNNNNNNNNNNNNNNNNNNNNNNNNNNNNNNNNNNNNNNNNNNNNNNNNNNNNNNNNNNNNNNNNNNNNNNNNNNNNNNNNNNNNNNNNNNNNNNNNNNNNNNNNNNNNNNNNNNNNNNNNNNNNNNNNNNNNNNNNNNNNNNNNNNNNNNNNNNNNNNNNNNNNNNNNNNNNNNNNNNNNNNNNNNNNNNNNNNNNNNNNNNNNNNNNNNNNNNNNNNNNNNNNNNNNNNNNNNNNNNNNNNNNNAAAACACAUUUUUUUGCAACCACAAGCUUCUGUUCUUCCAUGAACCCAUCUGGAGGCCUUUUUCGGUACUCUGCCGGAGGGGGAAUCGAUCACGGAGGGCUUCUACAUCAUCCUUGCUGCCUUCUGAUGAUGCAUGUGUAGUUCACAACAGAUCUAUGUGUCCAUAUCUAGUAGCUAGAUGGCUUCAUCUUUCUCUUUGAUCUUCAAUACAAUGUUCUCCUCGAAUUCUUAGAGUUAUAUCCUAUGUGAUCUUCUUUUGUGGUGUGUUUAUUGGGAUGCAAUGAAUUGUGUGUUUAUGAUCAAAUUAUUAAUUGAAAGUAAUUGGGUCUUUUCUGAACUUUAUUAUGCAUGAUUUUUAUAGCUUCCUAUUACCCUCCGAUCAAUUCAUUUCGUUUGGCCAACUAGAUUGACUUAUCUUUAGUAGGAGAGGUGCUUUGUAAUGGGUUCAAUGUUGCGGUGUCCUCACACGGUGACAGAAGGGGAAGCGAGGCACAUAUAGCAUUGUUGCCAUUAAGGAUAAAACGACGGGGUUUAAUCAUAUUUCUUGAGUUUACUUUGUCUACGUCAUGUCAUCUUGCUUAAGGCAUUCUCUGUUUGUUAUGAACUUAAUACGAUAGAUGCAUGCUGGAUAGCGGUUGAUUGGUGGAGUAAUAGUAGUAGAUGUAGGCAGGAGUCGAUCUACUUGUCAUGGACAUGAUGACUAUAUACAUGAUCAUUGCCAUGAAUACGUCAUAACUAUGUGUUUUUGUAUCAAUUGCCCAAUAGUAAUUUGUUUACCCACAAUAUGCUACGUGUUCGAGAGAGAAGCCUCUGGUGAAAACUAUGACCCCCGGAUCUACUUUUAUCAUAUUAUUAAAACCAAAAAUACCUUCAUACAAUUUUAUACUUUUUAUUUUACUUUUCUUUUUAUCUAUCUAUCACUAUCAGAAUUAAUCCUUGCAAAUAACGAGUUUAAGGGGAGUGACAAUACUCUUGCCGUGUUGGGUGCAAGUAUUUGCUUUUGUGUGUGUAGGUGCUAAAAAAGGGAAUUUGCGUGGUUCUCCUAUUGGUUUGAUAACCUUGGUUUUCACUGAAGAAAAUACUUAUCUCUAUUGUACUACUUCACCCAUCCUCUUCGAGGGAAAUCCCAAUGCAGUUUACAAGUAGCACUACUCCUCCUUCCUCCAUAGACACUUGGCGAAGCCCUGCCACAGCUCCACCACAAAAUCCACCACCACGCCAUUGUGUUGGCCUAGAUCUCGUCUACCGAUCCUGUUGCUUGCUGGAUGAAGAAGGAGACAUCACCGAGCCAUACAUGUGCAUAUCUCGGAGGUGUCGUUCGUGCGGUGCUGGAUCGGAUUGGAUCACGGAAAGUGUACGACUACGCCAACCACAUUCAUUAGAACGUUUCUGUUUUAGGUCUACAAGGGUUUGUAGACUUUUUCCCCUCGUUGCUAGCAUCUAGUUGAUUAGAUCUUUUUUUAGAAAAGGAGGAGGACCCCUGGCCUCUGCAUCUGGGUGAUGCAUACGACCACUUUAUUAAUUAUUCUCACAAGACCUUAUAAAGUCAUACAACAGUAAGACUAAAGCCACCGUCUAAGCAACAACUGUCGCUAGUCCUAUCCAAUUGAUGAAGAGGCGCUGAUAGCAUGAGCGUAAUACCAAACAGACAUCACAGUCAAACCUAAACAUCUAAGAACUAAGGUCCCAACCAGGACGCCUGCCGGGUAUGGGGCAUCUACCAGUCCGGCGCACUCCUCAACCAGGACGCCUGCCGGGUAUGAGGCCGCCGCAGUCACCUGCCACUAAUCCAUCUUCAGUGUUGUACUGAUGCAUCCACCUUACUCGGUAUAGCUGCCAUCGACGCUACCACGACGCCAGACAACGUCACCCUCCUGCGCGAGUCCAUCAUCGCACAUCAGACUCCUAAUCUCCAGGGCGCCAUGCCAGCGAGAUCUGUCACCAUCCAUGUGUAUGAUGAACCACCGCUCCACCAAAAGACGUCGUCCACUGGUCCCUCGAGCCUGCGUACACCUCCAAGAAAGAUGCCCCCAAGGGGGAAACGACACAAUCGCGCCGCCGUCUUCUGAUCUAUCGAUCUAGGGUUUUCCCCGGAGGUAGCAGAUAGUAGUCUAGAACUUCUCCGCUGCGAUGCCUUCAAGAUGGGAACGAUGUCGUAGAGCGACGUCACCGCCGGCUUUGGCAUCUAGGAAAGAGCAGGUUUUCACCCAGAUCUGUUGGAAGAACUCCAUCCAGCUUCUUGUGCACGGACCGCCGCCUUCUCUGUCGGAGACUAGAUCAAAAGGAUCUAGCCGCCGCCAGAUCCAUGCAGCCAGCACCGGGAGAUGACGACAGUCUCCCUGUACCAGAGCUAGCACGAACCGGAGCAUAUCGAGUCGGAGACGAUGAUACUCCUGGAUCUCCGGCAGACCAGCGAACCGCCGGCACCACCGUGUCCAGAUCGCCGGCCACGCCGGGCCGCCGCCACCCCCGCGCCGUCCGGUAGUCACCAGAUCCGGGAUGAGCUGGAACCGGUUGGACCAACGGGCGCACCGCCACCCAGCCAUGGGGUCGCCGCCCCGGCCACCGCCGCCCCCUGUGCAUCCGGCCGAUUCCCACCGGCACCACCACAGCCGCCGCCGCUGGGACGCCACGCCGCCGUGGGCUGAAGUGGGGGCCGCACCUCCGCGGAUCUGGGCGCCCACGCCACCCAUGGAUCCGGGGGAGAGGGGAGAGGCCCUCCUCCAUCGUGUCGCACGCACGGGCUUUGCCCGGCGCCGACUACCUGCGGCGGCGGAGGGGAGGUCGGGAUGUGGGGAGGGUCACUGCGGGCGGAGGUUGGCCUUCCGUGUUGCCCGCGAGGGGGGCGACGCGAGAGGGUAGAUAGAUUGAUUGAUUGAUUGAUUGAUCAGUUGAUUAGAUCUUGGAUGUUUUCAUUGUCUCGUAGGAAAAUAAAUUAUUUUUCAUGCAACGAUUCCCAUCACCGACCUGCUUCAAAAGAAGCAUGUAGGAGCUCAGGCGGCCCGGGCUCAGCAAGUUGCCGGACGGGAGGUCCCUAAGAGGUGCAUCCAAGAAUGCAACAACCUCCGAGUAGAGAAGGCGUCCCUAACCGAGAGAACGAGACAACAAGAGCUGGAGCUGGUGGAAGUUAAGAGGUUGUUUGAUUUUAGGCCUAACCAUGCCACACUUUGCCAUACAAUGUUGUCACAUUUGUAUAAGGUUAGUUCUUCAAAAUGAGAGCCACAAGUUGACAAGUCUAAGAAAAUCUUUCCACACUUUUUGAGUGUAUGUGAUGUGGGGCCCUAGUGUGGCUUGUUUAAGGUGUGGCUUGAAUCAAACAUUCACCUAAGUUGGUCAAACUUGUCUAACCUUAAAUGUGGCAACCUUAAGCAAACUUAAUCGCAAACCAAACAGCCCCUAAGUCUGGCCUGGCCGAUGCCGAGAGCGAUGCGGCAGGCCCUUGAGAUCAUAGUCAGUGAGUUUUUCCGUGCUUCAACUCAUAAUCUAGGUGGAAAUUUUAUUUGCCGAUCUGACAUAGAAAUUCAUUACUUCCGGCAUCUUUUUCCGACCUGCCAGUCAGUGCUGCUGGAGCGUCCCUUAGGAAGAAACCGCAGCAGCUUGGAGAGUUGAACAAGAUCGCAAGGCGGGAAAUGCAGGGUAUUUUCAAGGCCCUAUGGCCUGGAGAAAGGUUGUCGGAAAACCAGUUUGACCUCUCCCGCCGCCUCCAGGAGGGGCAUGCUCGGAUUGCCCUGUGAAAGGCGUCAGUGGCCUGAGGAGAUGCUCGUCAAGCUUGGGCCAUGUUCCAGACCCACUAUCCGGGCUUGAACAUCUGCCCUAUUGCCCUAGUUGGUCCAAAAGGACCUGACGGUAAGGAGAUUAUGCCUAAUGGCAAUUUCCAACGGGUCAUUCCCUAUGCUAGGAUGUCCGAGCAGGUUUGUCGUUUGGAAAAUAUUAUUGAAUAGGCUAGGAUCGGUUACCCUGGAAUGUCAAGGACGAAAAGUUGUAUAGAAACCUCUCGAAUUUUGCUUCAGCCAUGUUUAUUUUUCUCUAUACCAACAACAUGAUAGGUUUGCUUCGACCUGUUUAGCGUAUGCUUGCAUUAACCGGCCUUUGGCUUCAGCCUCCGCAACCAAACGGGAAGGCCUUAUAAUUGAUGUUAACGCAAGGAGUAGGAAUCGUCCUGCAACUAGGAUGCAAACAUAUCUAUGAAUAUAUGAAAUCUCUCCCAAGGAUUAAGUGGGGGUGUGUCCGACUUGUUGGCUCAUGAAGACCUCGAGCAUUUGAGAAAGCUCAUCAUCGGGAUAUACAGGGAAAGUUUUGCAAUACAAAGUAUAAAACACGAUAAAUUCCCCAUCCUAGUAUAAAACAUGAAGCUCAUGGAACUCUAAUUAGAUGCUAAUUAUCCAGACCAACAAAAGUUCUUUAGUAAGGGUCUCUGACAAGAAUAUGUUUCAUCGAAAGUGUCCUCAGAUCGAGCUCAUAUGAGCUCGAGUGAACAGUAAAAUCUGAAAAAAAAAUUGAAACGAAAUUACAAAAAAAAUUGCAAUUUUUUGGUGACAAAUGUUUUCAAUGCUUGCAAAGUUUCAUCAUUUAAUGACAUUUGUGAAAGUCGUGGCCCAAAAAACAAAAUUGAUACUUCAAAAAAGUUAUUUUCAAAGUGCUGAAUUUGUUUUUUGCCAUGACAUCCACGAAUGUCGUUCUAUGAUGAAACUUUGCAAGCAUUUAUAACAUUUGUCAAAUUUUGCCACAAAAAACAGAAAAUUUUGAAUUCUUUCUAAGUAUUUUCAGAUUUUAUUGUUCACCCGAGCUCAUAUGAGCUCGAGCUCAGUUAAUCUGUGUCCAUGCUUCAUCCUAUUCUACUAGCAAAAACCAAUGGAGCAGAUGGUAAUGACGUGGAAAAGAAACAAUAAGACUUUUGUAGUGAUAUAAGUAAAGAAACUGAAAUUUGCAAUUGCAAAUCAGGGAAUCUUAAUGUCAAAUACUGAAUUCUCCACCCACUAGCUGUGAGGCAUAUCCAUUGCAGUGCCAAAUAAAGAAACUUUUCCUUUUUUGCGGGAAAAAAGAAUUAAUAACAGCAAGACAAUGGUCCGCGUGUUGUAUAUAACAAAUAUUACACAGGUUUUGCAUAUGGAUAGCCGGUGUAUAUAGACCUAUGAGGAAUUAUGUAUGCAUGCUCGAGAACAUAGGUUCCUACAUACAUACACAAAUCAUAUAGAACAAAAGGUAUGCUCCGGUCGGAAAGCAGAGUCGUGCAACAGAGGUCGUGGACAAAAGUGAAAUUCACAAAAGAUCUUCAUAUGAGAUAGGCCAUUGUUUCAACUCAUAGUUUAGGCCUUGCCGGACUCCUCGCAACCCGGUGGCCUGAAGGCGAUGAAGCUGACGCACUGCACCUGGCGCAGGUUGUCGAAGCCGAUGACGCGGACAUAGGCGUCAGGGUACUCCUUCUUGACCUCCUCCACCUCGUUGAGCACCUGUGUGGCGUCGGUGCACCCGAACAUAGGCAGCUUCCACAUUGUCCAGUAUCGACCGUCGUAGUACCCGGGGGAGCUGUUGUGCUCACGGAAGACGAAGCCAACCUUGCUGAACUCGAGGCAGGGCACCCACUUGGAGCGGAUCAGGUAGUCGACCUGCUUCAGGAGGGCUUCCGUGGAGAGGGGUGGCAAGUAAGACAGGGUCUCGAACUUCUUGAUGCCCUCAAUUGGCCACACCUGAAUGAAUAGAAUGCGAACAGAUGCUCAAUACUUGGUGAUGAGUCAAUUAAUUGUACUAACAAUGCUAGAAAAAAUCAGUCGACAAGCCAAAAAUUGCUCCUUAUGGGCAGCUCUCAUAUGCAUUGCUGGGUUGUUCACAAUCAAUAAAGCUUUGGUUAUACUUAGUUCUAGUAUAUGGGUCCUAUUUCGAGGAUGGGUUUGGUUAUAUACAUUGGGGAUGUUCUGUAAGUGAAUUACUUGCACUGACAAAGAAACUCGUAUCAGUUUAAUUAGUGCCCCAACAUACCUGCAUGCACCUGAUCCUUCCGCCGUUGCUGACGCUGCCGAGGCUGCCGCUGGAGCGGCGGCUGACGGGCAGGCCGGCUGUGGACUUGAGCCCCUGGAAGGGUGCGACGGUGGUAGCCGACGAAGCCAUCACGGCGGGGGCCAUGGUAUUUGUAUUAUCGGAGGAGAGGAGGAUGCCGGCUACAGUUGAGGACCCCAUUGCCGGGUCACCACGGUAUAUAUAGCCCCGUUUCUUUGGUACAGAUGUGGUUGGGAUGGCUCACGUUCGCUGGUUGCCUCGUUUCCUUAUCUUCUCCGGAUCAGUGGAAGAAGCAUUGCCGUCGGAUACAUUGUGUGUGCUGGAAAUUUCAGUCCUUCAUGUCAUUAGGUGGCUGCCACACAACCUUUUUCUAGCUUUGCUUGUUUUUGGGUGAGUUCCUUGAUAACAAAUUGUCCGAGGAUGCGACUGAGUUGGCUGGGCAAAAUAUUUCAUUUUAUCAUAAAAUUUGCUGGCUCACUCUUGAAAGUAUGCUCAUAGGCAUAUAGUGUGCGGGUGUGCAAUCAUAGAGGGUGGUGUACAUACGUGUAUGUGAAUGUCUACAUUUAUACAAUGUUUGUCAAAAUAAAAUAUAUGUUUUCUUGGUAGAAUUAACUGAACUAGCAUAGUAAAAUAUAUGUUUCCCCCCUCCAUAUCCGUCGAUGUGCCUAUGGAUUCGCCUCCCCUUGGAGGGAAGGAAAUUCUCUGUAAAGAAGUAGUGAUCUAAACACUCUUAUAUUUAUUUACGGAGGGAAUAGGAUUUUAGUUCUCGUAGGAGUGGCGCUUGGACAGAUGGCGGCCCUUCUUUUUUGAGUCAAUCUUCCGGGAUCCGGUCGUCUUCAAGUUCCUCUGUCUAGACGGAUUAGAUGGAGGUCCGACGUAGAUUCCUUCCCGCUCCUCGGGCAUAUGCAAAACGAGAUUUGGUGUCAGGUUCUUUAGACCGAUUCAGGGAUUCGACGACUAUGACUACGGCUCCAGAGCGUUCAUUCUUAGGGGCGUGUGCAUGAAGACUUCCUCGCUGCCAUCGACAAGGUCUGGCUAGAUCUAGUGUGGAAGCAAAGACAACGGCUCGUUUUGACGGAGGCAAUGGUCGUUCGGUGUCGUUCGAUGGUCCAUAGACCUAGAUGCACUUUUUACUAUGUUUGAGGUGCUUUCUACUUUCGGUGAAUCUUUUCUUUUAGGGCAAGUGCUCUGCCUUUUCAUUGAUGUUUAGGAAGGUAUAGCGGAGGGCUAAAGUGCCAAAGGAAAGAAGAAAAACAUGAGAAAACCAGAAAAGAGAUCCAGUUGCACAAAACACUGAUGUACAAAGCGCUAGCCUAAGGCGCGACUUUCGGUGUAUCUUUAUAUUAGAUUUUAUUCUUUACGCAAAAAAAAGGAAAUUGAACUAGGAGGUAAAAGCACUAGAGGUCCUAGAACUUGUCUAACAUGUGAUGGUUUAGUCCUAAAACUUGCAAAAGUGAACUAUGUAAUCCUAUAACUUGUACACAACGUGCAAAUUUAGUCCAAAGCUGCGGCCAAGUGGCGCCAGCUGGCCUGUUCAGGUCGUUGUGUUCCAUUUUGCAUAUACCCCCUUUUUGUCAAAUUAACCCGCAAGUACUAGUAAAACACGGGGCUAGCUGCAGCAGUAGGGCUAGCUAGUGCGGCUUUGAGAAUUGAGAUUGGUUCAUCAUGUCAAACUGCAAUCUCCCUUCCAAUCAUCAAACACAUUAAGAUACGCAGGUUGGGCGCUUCCUAGGCUAUGCCACGUCAGAUAGCUGGAAGACAAAACAGAUCGCUGCAAAAAAAAGGAUUGCUGGGAGAAAAAAUGAUGGUCGGUUGGGCAGCCGCCAGAUAACACAUGCCUCUCGAUCUGCUUUUCCUUUCUCACUAAGCAAUCUCCAAUUCCACACGCAACCUCGUUGUCGCAUCGCUCUCCUCAACGACUGCUACGCGUCCAUGCGCCGCCACCGCCGCCACUUCUCCCGCGCCUUCUCCUCCCAGUUCCUCUCUGCCCUGCGGCGCCUCCUUGACCACCUAUCUCCUCCUCUGGGGGCACUACUUUCAGUUUACCAUUCCAAUUGGAUGGUCCACAACAUUGAUCCAUAUUUUGUAGGAACACUUAUAUUGUUGAAUUGAACUUGAUAUCAAAGUGUUUAGUUUAUAAAUAAUUUCUAUAAGUGAUACAUCUUUCAGUGUAAAUACAUUUUUUUCUCAAGAUUACUUGGGGAAAAAAUAGCAGACAUCAAAUGAAAUGUAUAAUUUUUUCAUCUGAAAAUCAGAUGAAAGCCACGGAAAGACCCCAAAACAUCAUAUUAAGAUCACCAUUGACUGUCCAAAUCUAAGUCCACCGCAUUCGUUAUAAAGAAAUUCUUUUCCAUGAAACUAAACCACGCCAACACUAAAAUUCAUGAACGAAAGUCAUCCAUAAUAUUAUGUUUCAUUAUAUGAGACGCUAGUUAUUUCGUCAUUUAAAGUGAUGAUAUGGCUCCACCGUGGUAUUAGAUGUGGCCUUUCCUAUGACGAUGUGGUAUCAUCAUUUUUUUUCUAAUCUAACAAAAAGUCUUACAUAUUGGUCUCACAAUCCGAAAACUCUCCUUUGCACGCACGCGUUGGGACGGGUGAAGCGCUCCGCACAAGAAGUCAGGUUCCGACCGUGCGCUAUAUUCUUUUCCAAACUUUGGCAUGUCGUUUAACUGAGAAUGGUGGCCCCACAUAGUAUCGCAGCCCACUGUCAUGGAACUAAAUGUGUUGGGCUCACCCCACAUGUUACAUGCAUUCACGGAAGGGCUAGUUGUGGUGCCAUCUUGGUUUUCACUUCAGUGUGAUUUCUUUGAUUUCACUGAAUUUUAGUAAUUUCAGUAGACACAGAAAUAUUUACCUUUGAAUCAGAAUAUUUCAGUCAUUUCAGUUGUACACAUGAAUUCAAAUACUUUUCAAAAUAUCUUUAAAUAUUUUUUUGAAUUUCAAGUGAAUAUUUUGGUCUUUUGGCCAAAAUGCAAGCUGAAAUUACUGAAAUUCAGUAACUUUGAUAGGUACUGAAACAACAGUAGUGUUUUUGCCUGAAUAUGAAUUCUGUCAUGAAACAUAUAGGGUUUUGACCUCCGAUGUAGGUUCUAUAACAAAAUCAAUAGUUUCGUCAUGGAAGGACCUAUGUUUAUGACAAAAACACAAAACAUCACAGAUAAUUCAUCAUAGAAGGCCAAAACUUUACUAGUAGAAGAUAUCUUGGGACUCGUCAAUUGGAUAUGUAAUUUGCACAUAUUUGUCUCGUCCACACGUUCUCUGGUUUAUUGGAAUUGUUGCAAUACUGUAAAAAAAUAGUAUCUAAUUGUGGUGUAAAAUGGUUAGAAAAAGUGACACGUCUUUGAAGAAUCGAUGAUGGAAUAUGCCUCACAAGACAAGUGCACUAUGGUAGUUUGUCCUUGUCUUGUUUUGACACCUGUUGUUUGUCCUUUUUCUAGUUUUUAAAUUUUAGUUUUUGGCUUUUUAUUAUUAUAUGGUUCUCAUCAAUGUCCUACUGUUUUGCCACUAGUUUUCAAUGGGGUCUCACCAUCUCUUUAUGUGUUUCCCACAACAAUUUUUUGAAGUACUUUGGUAUUCCAUAAGAAUUUUCGCAUUAGAUAAUACACAGCAUAUGAUUGAGCAAAAAAUGUAAGAGAACAAAACAUUGCAAGGCAUAGGCAUUCGCAUUUCCAGUUGCAAACAAAGUUUCCUUUCCAUCAAUUGAUGGCAAGACAAUAAUCUGCGGAUUGCAUAUAAUAUAUAUGUGUAUGUGUAGCCGGUGCUAUAAUUCUGACAUGCAUCCUCCUCGACCUACGUUGGUAGGUGCUUACAUAUGCUCAUAUAUUCACAUAUGAGUAGAACCAGAAAUAAAACCGAGAAAACAGAGCUGCUGACAAAUGUUAACUAACAUGGCAUGUAUCACUACAAGAAAUAUGUUGAUCCAUGACGGAUUUCGCAUGACGUUUUUGAAAUCUGUCAUGAAUGGCCCGGUAUAGCCCCGCAAGCCCGCUAAAGCCCGCCAAAGCCCGCCUAACCAUUCACGUAUAAAACCCAAACCCUAAGUGUCUCUCCUCUCUCUGUCUCUCCCUUCGUCGCAACCCCCCUCCCGAUUCCCCAUCUCCUCACACACAUCGCCGCCACCCACCACCACAUCGCCUCCUCCCACUGCUCGUCGCCAGCCCUUCCCUUCCUCUCACCUCGCUGCUACGGCGGCUGCUAGAUCCGCCGCAACCCCCACCAAUCCAUCUCUCGUGCGACCCAUCUCUCCCUCUCCCGCGAAUCAUCGCGCCGCCACCAAGAUCCGCCGAUUCCGGCGAUGUCCGCCACCGUGCUGCACACUCACGAGCUCAUCUCCGACCCCUCCGCCCUCCAGCCCGGCUGGAUCCGCCGCUCCCAGCCCCCUGCACUCGCACUCAACCCCUAGCCAAUGUCUAGGGUUUCAGCUACGGCGGCGCGUCUGUCACUGGCGCGUCUCCAACAGCACCACUUCGUCGUGCAACGCGCCCCCUCGCGCCUCUCCGCCUCCCCCUAGCUCAGUGUGCUCGCCUGUGUUGGGCUGGACGGCGGUGACCCCGACCCCCUCUUCCGCGUCUCCGGCGCAGCGGCGCGUCCCAUGGCAACCUCCUCUGUCACGCGAGACGGCGUCUGACCUGCACUGCGACCAUUGCAUUGCUUACAAAGGUCUCCAGUGAGCACUGCGACCUCUACCUCCCUCUUCUCCUUGAUUCAGCUUGAUUUUGUAUCUUUCCUCUCAAGAAUUGAUGAUUUAAUAUUUACAAACAUUAAUCCCUCUGUUAUAGAAUUUAUAGUCUAGUAGCAAGUUAGGCUCAUAGUCAGUAAACUGUUUGUUGCUUCCCUGAUUUGAUUAAAAUGACUGUUGCAAUCAGGUGGUUGUAGUUUUAUUUGAGUGUACUUUUUUAGCUGUAUUCUGUGAAAGUAAACUCCAGAGUGCAAAAUUGUAUUUGUUGUGCAUUUUUGUAUCUUUUCAGAACAAAAAGAGAUGAAUUGAACCUCUUCUAGCUCCUAAUAAAAGGCAAUGUGCAAAACUGUAUGUUCUGUACAUUUUUGUAUCUUUCCAGAACAAAAAGAUAUGGAGAAUUGAACCUCUUCUUACUGCCUAAUAAAAGGGAGUGUAUUACUAGUUCAAUCACUUCCAGAAUGCUUGUUGAUAUAUCAGGAAAAGCGAGUUAUCCACUUUAUGAAUUACUGGAUGUUGCUUUACAUUCUACAGUAGCCUCCUUUUUGUCUUUCUGUAUUGUGGAAUCAGUGUUCCUUGUCUGACAUAUUUCUCUACUAAUGUAAAGUGUAUAUAUUAAUGCAGUAUUAUUAUGCUUGUUAUGAUAUCUUAAGCACUGUUCCUGGCUCAGGUCUCCACUUGAUCAGUGACGAAGGUUGAUGAUUACAACUGAACGACUGAAUCAGUCCACUGGUAGAAUUAAAUAUAGUUGAAGAACUAUGCUGCAGAGAAAAGAACUUGGUGUGUCAAUUCUUUAGGACCCCACACUACAAUACAUAGUCAAUCAUAACUACUUUAUAAUAGUUUAGAUAUACUUCCUUGAAAUGUUAUGUGAACCAUCGUUGGCUGUGUAACUUUGAAAGUGUCUCCACCUUGAACAUUUCAUUUAUUCUUAUUUUCUCUACCAUUAAUAGGUAUUAUUUAUAAUAUGCUUCCUCAAUUCCGAAAUAAUUGAAUUUGAUCAAGUUUAUAAGUAAAAAAGAGCUCACUUGGCUGUUCUUGACACGUAGAUAGGUGUAUUUGUUUACAUAAGAAAAAUGACACCAAGUUAGUUCAUGAUCAUGGUUUAGAAAAAAAAAGGUGUGCACUAUGGUAAAAAGAAGUACAGUUUUGUUGCAAGUAGUUUUCCAAAAACGAUAACUUAUCUUGUUCCCCUAUCCCUUUAUUAUUUGUCAACACCCCUGUGAUCUUUGAGAUGAUAAUUUUUCAAAGGUACCUACAGUUACACAGCAAGGUGGAGCUCCUCAGCGCUUUGGCAUGGGUAAGCUCCUAUGCCCUUCAGGAUGAUUUGAACUAUUUGGCACUAGAUUACUCAUGAUUAGUCGUCGAUGUUGUGUUGCUGCAAUGAAACAAUAUUGUUGAUUAAUGAAAGACAAGCAAUCCUGGCAUAACUCUUAAGUAUAUAGGCCUCAUGAGUGAGGUUCAAACCACGUGAAAUAAAAAUGAUGGUUCAGAUGAUAAUAACUACUAUUUAUGUUGUUGUAAUCAACUUGCCAUUUUGUAACAGAAGCAUAUUGUCUGUUACAGGUUUACUUGGUGGUCAGAGCCAAAAAGGAAGUUCGAGGUGUAGGCAUGAACUUGAUGAUUAAGAGGGUCUGUACAAUCUUGUAUAUUUGUUGAUGUAAUCUGGUGUAAUUAUUACUAAGGGUCUGUUAUCUGAUGUUGGAUGUUUUAUUGGCCACGUUUUAAAAGGGCUUUACUCAUUGAAAUAAUUGAAUAGAAAUUUGUGAAAUGCUUUAAAUUAUAGGCAUGUUCAAUAGAAUUAAUUGUGUUGUGAAAGCUUGUUUGAUUAUGUGUAAUGGGUGGCGCUGUAACUGGUUGGAUGGAAAUCAUGCCAGACUAAAAUAAAUGGUCUAAACUACCACAACAAAAAAAGUGGAUGCCACGUCACAUUCACGCUGGUGCCAUGUAGAUGCCACGUCAAGCCCAUUUUUGUAUAGCGUCUCCAAAUCCAUGACGGACUAGUCUGUCAUAGAGGACCGGGCCUGGGCGGGCCUAGGGACUGAUCGGUGACGGCCAGGAUCAGUCAUGGUGGUACAGUUGUCAAAUUAUGACGCGAUAUACAUGACGGAUUAUAAAUCCGUCACGGACAACCCUCCUUGACGGUUUUGCACUGUUCCAUGACAGACUGUAUCCGUCAUGGAUUAACAAGAUUCUUGUAGUGUAUAUCGGACUUGCACUUUAGGCCUUGCCGGAUUCCUCGCAGCCUGGUGGCCUGAAGGCAAUGAAGCUGACGCACUGCACCUGGCGCAUGUUGUCGAAACCAAUGACGCGGACAUAGGCGUCAGGGUACUCCUUCUUGACCUCCUCCACCUCGUUGAGCACCUGCGUGGCGUCAGUGCACCCGAACAUAGGAAGCUUCCACAUUGUCCAGUAUCGACCGUCGUAGUACCCUGGGGAGCUGUUGUGCUCACGGAAGACGAAGCCAACCUUGCUGAACUCAAGGCAGGGCACCCACUUGGAGCGGAUCAGGUAGUCGACCUGCUUAAGGAGGGCCUCCGUGGAGAGGGGUGGCAAGUAAGACAGGGUCUCGAACUUCUUGAUGCCCUCAAUCGGCCACACCUGAAUAGAUGGAAUUAACACAAUUGAUCAACACUUAGUGCUUGAAGAAAGACCUAGCCAUAAUAAGGCAAAAAUUACUCCUUAUGUCCAUACAUUUGUGGGGGGGUCUCCACAAGCAAGAAAGCACAAGGGCACCUCUUUCUUAUCGGUAGUGUAUGGGCAUUAAAAUUAAUAUUAUCUAGUACACAUUGGAAUAAAAUCGAUUUCAAUUCACAAAGUUUAUGAGUUAAAUAUUCCUACACAUGUGAACCUGCUUACGGACUACAUUGUGAUGCACAGUUUGGCCGGGCAUGUGGGCGUCCUACGGAUAGCUUUGCCUAUGUGCAGUGGAAAUACCCGAUAAAUUAAUCAAUUGUGGCAACAAAAACAUUCAUGCCAGCUUAGUGUCCGUCAUCCUUCGCUAAAAAAAAUCGAAAAGGAGGAUAACUCCAGCCUCUGCAUCAAGUGAUAUGCACACUGUCAUUUUUAUUAUAUUAUUCGAAAGAGUCUAACAAAACAAAUACGAUUUUAAACCAAAGCCAUCUUCGAGACGAACAAAAUCGCUACACCUACAAGUACGAUGAUGUGCCUUGACCACAUCAUCCUUCGCAAAAAUAAUAUUCAGCUUUCAUACCUGCAUGCAUCUGAUCCUUCCGCCAUUGCUGACGUUGCUGAGGCCGGCGCUGCCGGAGGGGCGGCUGAUGGGAAGGCCGGUGGUCGACUUAAGCCCCUGGAAGGGCGCGACGGUGGUGGCGGAAGAAGCCAUCACGGCUGGGGCCAUGGUGGAGUACGUGAAUUGCUAGGUGGGAGGCGAUAGCUAGCUAGGCCACACUUGACUUGAGCCCUCCUCAUGCCGCUCCAGUAUAUAUCAGCAUAUGCGCAGCGCCGCUCCUUUCAAACGAGAUUUCGAAGGGGUGGUCGUCGCUUGCUUGCUGCAAGGCGCCUUAUCCCUCUGGAUCAGCGGAAGAGGGGUGGAAAAUCAAAAUGAGUGCCACGGAAAGACCCCAAAACGUCAUAUAAGAUCACCAUUGAUCAUCCAAAUCUAAUGUCACUGCAUUAGUUACGAACAAAUUCUUUGGCGCGAAACUAAACCACGCCAAGACUAAAAUUCAUGAAGGAAAGUCAUCCAUACUCUUAUGUUUCAUUGUAUGAGACGGUAAUUAUUUCUUCAUUUAAAGUGCUGAUAUGGCUCCACCAUAGUAUCAGAUGUGGCAUUUUCCUAUUCCUAUACGAUGUGAUAUCAUCAUUUUUUUUUCUAAUUUAGUAAAACUUCUUCAUAUAGGUUCCACAGUCCGAAAAUACUCAUUCGCACGCGCGUGUUGGGUGGGUGAAGCGCUCCACACAAUAAGCCAAGCCCAGCUUUCACAUGUCGUUUAAUUGAGAAUGGUGGCCCCAUAUAGUAUAGCAGCCCACUGCCAUGGAAUUAAAUGUGUUGGGCCCACCCCACCUGAUACGCGCAUUCGCAGAGGGGCUAGUUGUGGUGGCAUGAUGGUUUUCACUUUUAAUGAUAUAUCUUUGAAUUUCACCAAAUUUCAGUAGACAAUGAAAUAUUUACCUUUCGACCAAAAUAUAUCAGUCAUUUCAGUUGUACACGUGAAUGCAAAUAUUUUUCAAAAUAUUUUCAUAUUUUUUUAAUUUCGGGUGAAUAUUUUGGUCUUUUGGUCAAAAUGCAAACUGACAUUACUGAAACUUAGUAAUUUUUGUAGGUGCUGAAAUGAAAAAACAAGGGUGCCAUGGCAUGCAGGCCCACCCCGUGAUCUCUACUCCUAAUGGAGCAGUUGGUAGUCUCGCUUCCAGGUUUUUUUUCGUCCCACCACUUUCGUCCGGUUUUUUUCCGUAGGUUAACCGUCGUAGAUUUUUUUCGAUGAUGGUUUUUUAUUCAUCGGUUUAUUUACCCCUCAGCUCUUUCCUUGCAAAUCAGGACUUUCCAAACGUGCAGGCAAUCACGGAUCUAAAUUUACUAACUUAUCCAAAUCAACCGAUACCUUCCAUUAUUGCAAAUUUCUUUAGGAAACAAAUAAUAGAUUUUAAGGAAACAAAUAAAAGAUUUUAAAGACACAUCAUACUUUACUAAUAAUCACUAAAAAUCAAAUCUAAAUUAAUUAACCUUACCUUAAAUCACUCAAUCACUUUAAUUAGAAAACAUUUUCUUUCCUAACUGCACCUUGCUUAGUGUGCACAUAACAAUCCGAAGUAAUUAGAGUCACAUGAUUGAAUCCAUUUAUUUAGAGCGGCAUGAUUGCGUUCCGGGAUGGAGGCCAUGAUUUCGUCGAGGUCGUUGCUGCCUCCUACACUCAGGGUGUGUCGCCGAGAUCGAGGCGAGCAUGAGGAGCUGUGGCCACCGCCAUGGUCACCUCAUCGCAGGGGAUGGAGCACGCCGUCGGCCUAUAGCUUGUGGAGAUCAGCACUUUCCAAACGUGCACGCAAUCACGGAUUUAAAUUUACUAACUUAUCCAAAUCAACCGAUAUCUUCCAUUAUUGCAAAUUUCUUUAGGAAACAAAUAAUAUAUUUUAAGGAAACAAAUAAAAGAUUUUAAAGACGCAUCGUACUUUACUAACAAUCACUAAAAAUCAAAUCUAAAUUAAUUAACCUUACCUUAAAUCACUCAAUCACUUUAAUUAGAGAACAUUUUCUUUCCUAACUGCACCCCGCUUAGUGUGCACAUAACAAUCCGAAGUAAUUAGAGUCACAUGAUUGAAUCCAUUUAUUUAGAGCGACAUGAUUGCGUUCCGGGAUGGAGGCCAUGAUUUCGUCGAGGUCGUUGCUGCCUCCUACACUCAGGGUGUGUCGCCAAGAUCGAGGCGAGCAUGAGGAGCUGUGGCCACCGCCAUGGUCACCUCAUCGCAGGGGAUGGAGCAUGCCGUCGGCCUACAGCUUGUGGAGAUCAGCACUUUCCAAACAUGCACGCAAUCACGGAUUUAAAUUUACUAACUUAUCCAAAUCAACCGAUAUCUUCCAUUAUUGCAAAUUUCUUUAGGAAACAAAUAAUAUAUUUUAAGGAAACAAAUAAAAGAUUUUAAAGACGCAUCGUACUUUACUAACAAUCACUAAAAAUCAAAUCUAAAUUAAUUAACCUUACCUUAAAUCACUCAAUCACUUUAAUUAGAGAACAAUUUCUUUCCUAACUGCACCCCUCUUAGUGUGCACAUAACAAUCCGAAGUAAUUAGAGUCACAUGAUUGAAUCCAUUUAUUUAGAGCGACAUGAUUGCGUUCCGGGAUGGAGGCCAUGAUUUCGUCGAGGUCGUUGCUGCCUCCUACACUCAGGGUGUGUCGCCAAGAUCGAGGCGAGCAUGAGGAGCUGUGGCCACCGCCAUGGUCACCCCAUCGCAGGGGAUGGAGCACGCCGUCGGCCUACAGCUUGUGUAGAUCACUGUUGCUCUUCAGGUCGCGUGGUGCCGGAUCUUGCCGAUGUGUCCUUCCCCGACGACCUCCUCUUCGCCCGGUUGGCCGGCAUGGAUCUCGCCACUACUGCCCUCAACUUCUCUGCCUCGAGCUCGACGGUCAGCCACCAUGGAUCCCCCAGCUGGAGGGUCACGUGAACCAGCCGUCCUCCCAUGCUGCAGCGGCGAGAAGGUGACAUGGCUCUCCGUACACGAAGAGUGGAGUGUGGAGUUCGGUCAAGUACUUAUAUACUUGGCCUCUACUGCUGAUCCAUGUACAUGGAGAAGAACAGACAACCACUCAUUCAUGCUUCGUUCCACUCCUUUGCGCUACAUUACUGGAGGUGACAUUUUCCUAUCUCUCUAUGUUGUAACAAGCCUGUUGCCUGCAUAGUUAAUGGAUUUUUUAUUUAAAUUUAUCGCUGCUUAGUGCUUUGUUGCAAUUGUUCACGCAAGAUUCUUAUAUAUAAUCUGAGCGUAUGUAGGCAUACUUAGCUUUUCUAUUCCAUUUUUUUGGCGCAUAGAAAUAAGAGUAUUGUCCAGGUUAGGUAUUCAAUUGAGUAUGGUAUUUGGAUUGCUAUCAGAAUGUCUUUUCUAUGCAUGUGAUUUCUCACAUCUGGUUAUAAUAUUUGUGAAGACAUGCAUUGCACGUGCACUUGGAAGCGGGCCCGUGGCCCGCGCUGGACGGCGCCGACGCCGACCCGAGCCACCUCGUCCGCGUAUUCUUGGAGCUGUGGCUGGUCGAUUUACAUGAAAUUAAUUUCCUCAGUUCUGGUGGCAAAUAUAAUACACAUAAUCCAUAUUAUUAUGCACUAGCGUGUAUGUGUGAAAUAGAUGGAUUAUGGUCCCGUACCCAAUAAGAUGGAUAUAUGUGUGUGUUAGAGAGAGAGGGAGAGGGGGAUAGAGAGUGAGGAAGACGGAGGGAGAGUGUGUGUCUGUGUGUGUGAGGAUUUGAUGGUAAAAAAGGUCGCCAAUGUCGUAAUAUUGAACUCUUAAAGUUAAUGUGGCCCCGUUGCAACGCACGGGCGUUCUUUUAGUCAAUAUAUAAUCUCCCACGAAAUUUCAGGUGGGGGCUAGUUUCCCUACAAUAAUGAAUAAUCCAAGGGAACGGAAAUAUCACUGCACACUUUCCUUAUAGGGAUGUGGACAACCAGUCGGAAAUCGCCCACGCGGACGNNNNNNNNNNNNNNNNNNNNNNNNNNNNNNNNNNNNNNNNNNNNNNNNNNNNNNNNNNNNNNNNNNNNNNNNNNNNNNNNNNNNNNNNNNNNNNNNNNNNNNNNNNNNNNNNNNNNNNNNNNNNNNNNNNNNNNNNNNNNNNNNNNNNNNNNNNNNNNNNNNNNNNNNNNNNNNNNNNNNNNNNNNNNNNNNNNNNNNNNNNNNNNNNNNNNNNNNNNNNNNNNNNNNNNNNNNNNNNNNNNNNNNNNNNNNNNNNNNNNNNNNNNNNNNNCAAAAAAUAAUUCAAGUUAAUAUAAUUUUAGCCUGGCAUGCGUGUACCUCCACAAUGUAAUGGGCUACUGUUGUUUGCAACUAAUUGUUUUGUAAUGUUAUGACUGAAUAUGGAUUUUCUCAUGAGACAUAUAGGGUUUCUGCCUCUUAGGCAGGUUUUAAGACAAAAUUGAUAGUUUCGCCAUGGAAGGACCGAUGUUUAUGACACGAACACCAAACAUCGCAGAUAAUUCAUCAUAGAAGGCCAAAAUAUUACUAGUACAAGGUAUCUUGGGGCUCAUCAAUUGGAUAUGUAAUUUGCACAUAUUUGUGCCCUCAACACAUUCUUUGGUUUAUUGGAAUUUCUGUAAUACUGCAAAAAAACAGUAUCUAAUUGCCGUGUAAAAUGGUUAGAAAAAAUGACAUGUCUUUGAUGAAUCGAUGCAGGAAUAUGGCUCACAUGACAAGUGCAUUAUGGUAGGUUUGUCCUUGUCUUGUUAUGCCACCUUUGUUUGUCCUUUUUUCUAGUUUUUUAUUUGUUUUUUCUUUUUUUAUUAUCUGUUUCUCGUCAAUUCCCGAUUGUUUUGCCAUUAGUUUUCAAGGGGGUCUCACCAUCUUUUAUGUGUUUCUCCACAGUAUUUUUUGAAGUACUUUGGUAUUCCAUAACAAUUUCCGUAUUAGACAAUACACAACAUAUGAUUGAGCAAAAAAUGCAUGAGAAGAAAACAAUGCAAGACAUAGGCAUUUCCGGCUGCAAAGAAAGUAACAUUUCCAUCAAUUGAUGGCAAGACACUAAUCCGUUGAUUGCAUAUAAUAUAUAUGUAUAUGUAUAGCCGGUGCUAUAAUUCUCAUAUGCAUCCUCCUCGACCUACAUUGGUAGGUGCUUACAUACAUAUGCUCAUAUAUUCACAUAUGAGUAGAACGAGAAGUAAAACUGAGAAAGCAGAGCCGCCGACAAAUUUGACUAACAUGACAUGUAUAUCGGUUACUUCAACUUGCACUUUAGGCCUUGCCAGAUUCCUCGCAGCCUGGUGGCCUGAAGGCAAUGAAGCUGACGCAUUGCACCUGGCGCAUGUUGUCGAAGCCGAUGACGCGGACAUACGCAUCAGGGUACUCCUUCUUAACCUCCUCCACCUCGUUGAGCACCUGUGUGGCGUCGGUGCACCCGAACAUAGGCAGCUUCCACAUUGUCCAGUAUCGACCGUCAUAAUACCCGGGGGAGCUGUUGUGCUCACGGAAGACGAAGCCAACCUUGCUGAACUCGAGGCAGGGCACCCACUUGGAGCGGAUCAAGUAGUCGACCUGCUUCAGGAGGGCCUCCGUGGAGAGGGGUGGUAAGUAAGACAGGGUCUCGAACUUCUUGAUGCCCUCAAUUGGCCACACCUGAAUAGAUGGAAUGAACACAAUUGAUCAACACUUAGUGCUUUAAGAAAGACCUACCCAUAAGGAAAAAAUUACUCCUGAUGGUCUGCCCACACAUCGUGGGGGGUCUCCACAAGCAAGAAAGCUCAAGGGCAGCUCUUGCUUAUGGGUAGUGUAUGGGCAUUAAAAUGAUAUUAUCUAGUACACAUUGCAAUAAAAAUGAUUUUCAUUCACAAAGUUUAUGAGUUAAAUAUGCCUACACAUGUGAAUCUGCUUACGGACUACAUUGUGAGGUUUACUUUGGCCUGGUAUGUGGGUUGCACGUCCUAAGGAUAGCGUUGCCUAUGUGAAGUGGAAAUACCCGAUAAAUUAAUCAAUUGUGCCGACAAGAACAUUCAUGACAGCUUAGUGUCCGCCAUUCUUUGCCAAAAAGUAAAUUGAAAAGGAGGAUAACCCAGCCCGUGCAUCAAGCGAUGCACACUGCCAUUUUUGUUAUGUUAUUUAUUUAACAUAGUCUAACAAAACGAAUACAGUUUUAAUUCAAAGCCACAUUCCAGACGAACAAAAUCGUUACACCUACAAAUACAAUGAUGUGCCUUGACUGCACCAUCUUUUGCAAAAAUGAUAUUUAGCUUUCAUACCUGCAUGCAUCUGAUCCUUCCGCCAUUGCUGACGCUGCUGAGGCCGGCGCUGCAGGAGCGGCGGCUGACGGGGAGGCCGGCGGUCGACUUGAGCCCCUGGAAGGGCGCGGCGGUGGUGGCGGAAGAAGCCAUCACGGCUGGGGCCAUGGCGGAGUACGUGAAUUGCUAGGUGGGGAGGCGAUAGCUAGCUAGGCCACACUUGACUUGAGCCCUCCUCAUGCCGCUCCAGUAUAUAUCAGCGUAUGCCCAGCGCCGCUCCUUUCAAACGAGAUUUCGAAGGGGUGGUCGUCGUUUGCUUGCUGCAAGGUGCCUUAUCCCUCUGGAUCAGCGGAAGAGGGUUGGAAAAUCAAAAUGAAUGCCACGGAAGAGAUAAAUAUACCUGCGGUCAUUGAAGUUGAGGCCGAAGCACACUACAGUCAUUGUACUUCAAAAUAAGUUUAAUACGGUCAUUGAAUACGAGUUGUAGUGUGCUUCCUAUUUUUUUUCUAGUCUGCAUACACGGAGAAGGUGGCACACUACAGUCACUGCACACACUCAGCCGUAGAAUGCCCGUAUUUCCUCUGUUUUUUUUUCUAGUCUGCAUAUAAAAUGUGGUCAAAGUUAAACUUUGUCAACUUUGAUUAAGUUUAUAAAAGAAAUAUAACGAUUCAUAAUAUGAAAUCAAUACUGUUAGAUGCAUCAUGAAAUUAAGUUUUAUACUUUCUUUAUUUUAAAAUAUAGUGCGCCCGCGUUUUCCGAGGUCUAACUUUGACCAUAAAUUUAACCAACGACACCGACUGCGAUGAGAGAAAAAAUUAUAUAAUUGAAAACCUCUUUUGAAUACGAAUUCACUGGUAUAAUUUUUGCUCCCACCGCAGUCGGUCUUAUUGGUUAAAUUUAUAGUCAAAGUUGAAACACGGGAAUAAAAGAAGCACUAUAUUUUGAAAUGGAUGGAGUACAAUAUAACUUUUAGUAUUGUAGAUGUUGAUAUUUUUUUCAACAAAAUUGGUUAAACUUUACAAAGUUUGAUUUUGACCAAAUACUAUAUGCAGACUAAAAAUAACGGAGGGAGUACACAACACAUGCAUCCGCACACGCUCGGCUGCAUGGUGGCGUGCGCCAUCUGCGACGACGUUGGUUCGUCGUGGUACGUCCAAGCUUGCCCACAACAAUGCCAUACGCCAUCUCUUGCAGCACCUCUUCGUCGUCAUUGCUCGACGACUGGCCGGAGACCAAGGUGACCGUGGCCUCGGCCUUAGAGCUAGCACCGAUAGAAAGCAUACGCGCAUGUACGGAGUACCCACUAGGUCGUGCGUCCCCAGCCGCGCCUCUACUCCUACUGCGCACAUUGUCUAUGAAGGCGAAUGCAUCACGCGCUAGCCGAGGCUUCAUCUUUAAUAAUUACAGCACCUACGGCACAAUCCGAGACUGCAUGGAGUCCUACUCGUGCAUGAGCCACUCUUGAUCACCUGUCGGAUCAUCCCCUCGGAGAACCUCAUCGCCUUGCCACCGUGGCCCCUAGCUCCUGCCCUUCACCUUGUGCUCCUACCAGUCGUCGAUCCGACAGGUGAUCAAGAGUGGCUCAUGCACGAGUAGGACUCCAUGCAGUCUCGGAUUGUGCCGUAGGUGCUAUAAUUAUUAAAGAUGAAGCCUCGGCUAGCGCGUGAGGCAUACGAUCAUGAUUCUCAGGUUCGAAGCCCGCAUUAAUUUACAUCCCUUCAGUUUUCUCUUAUACACCAUGAUAGGUGGGACCUAUAGAGCAGGGAGACAACUCAGCGCUGAUGGAGCCCUAACUGCCCCAUAGACUCUUUGACAGGUCAACUGGGCAAAAUACGAAGCUCUAUGGUGAACCAGUGACCAUAUAAUCAUCGUAACUCGUAUCCAAUGACUGUAUUGAGUGUAUUUUGAGGUUCAAUGACCGUAGUUUGCUUGGGCCUCAAUUUCAGUGACUGCUAGUGUAUUUAUCUCGCCACGGAAAGACCCCAAAACGUUAUAUAGGAUCACCAUUGAUCAUCCAAAUCUAAGGUCACUGAAUUUGUUAUGAACAAAUUCUUUGGCGCGAAACUAAACCACGCCAACACUAAAAUUCAUGAAGGGAAGUCAUCCAUACUCUUAUGUUUCAUUAUAUGAGACGGUAAUUAUUUCUUCAUUUAAAGUGUUGGUAUGGCUCCACCAUGGUGUUAGAUGUGGCAUUUUCCUAUACGAUGUGAUAUCAUCAUUUUUUUCUAAUUUAAUAAAACUUCUUCAUAUAGGUCUCACAAUCUGAAAAUACUCAUUCGCACGCGCGCGUUGGGUGGGUGAAGCGCUCCGUAGAAUAAGUCAGGUUCCGACCGCGUGCUAUAUUCCUUUCCAAUUUUUCACAUGUUUUUUUAAUUGAGAAUGGUGGCCCCAUAUGGUAUAGCAGCCCAAUGCCAUGGAAUUAAAUGUGUUGGGCCCACCCCACCUGAUACGCGCAUUCGUAGAAGGGCUAGUUGUGGUGGCAUCAUGCCUUUGACUUUUAAUGAUAUAUCUUUGAAUUUCAUCAAAUUUCAGUAGACAGCGAAAUAUUUACCUUUCGCCCAAAAUAUAUCAGUCAUUUCAAUUGUACACAUGAAUUCAAAUAUUUUUCAACAUUUUUUCAUUUUUUUUAACUUUCGAGUGAAUAUUUUGGUCUUUUGGUCAAAAUGCAAACUGACAUUACUGGAACUUAGUAAUUUUGGUAGGUACUGAAAUGAAAAAACAUGGGUGCCAUGGCAUGCAAGCCCACCCUGUGAUCAAUAUAUAAUCUCACACUAAAUUCCAGGUGGGGGCUAGUUUCCCUAAAAUAAUGAAUAAUCCAAGGGAACGGAAAUAUCACUGCACACUUUCCUAAUAGGGGCGUGGACGGCCAGUCGGAAAUCGACCACGCGGACGCGCGUGCGAAUUAGCCUCCCCCCCAACAAUCAUCCACCCAAAAAAUAAUUCAAGUUAAUAUAAUUUUAGCCUGGCAUGCGUGUACCUCCACGAUAUCGAUGUAAUGGGCUGCUGGUGUUUGCAACUAAUUGUUUCGUAAUGUUAUGACUGAAUAUGGAUUUUCUCAUGAGACAUAGGGUUUCUGCCUCUUAGGCAGGUUUUAUGACAAAAUUGAUAGUUUCGUCAUGGAAGGUCCCAUGUUCAUGACACAAACACCAAACAUCGCAGUUAAUUCAUUGUAGAAGGCCAAAAUAUUACUAGUACAAGCUAUCUUGGGGCUCAUCAAUUGGAUAUGUAAUUUGCACAUAUUUGUGCCCUCUACAUGUUCUUUGGUUUAUUGGAAUUUCUGUAAUACUGCAAAAAAUAGUAUAUAAUUGUGGUGUAAAAUGGUUAGAAAAAGUGACAUGUCUUUCAUGAACCGAUGCAGGAAUAUGGCUCACAUGACAAGUGCAUUACGGUAGGUUUGUCCUUGUCUUGUUAUGACACCUUUGUUUGUCCUUUUUUCUAGUUUCUUAUUUGUUUUUUUGUUUUUUUGUUAUUAUCGGUUUCUCGUCAAUUCCCUAUUGUUUUGCCAUUAGUUUUUAAUGGGGUCUCACCAUCUUUUAUGUGUUUCUCCAUAGUAUUUUUUGAAGUACUUUGGUAUUCCAUAACAAUUUCCGUAUUAGACAAUACACAACAUAUGAUUGAGCAAAAAAUGCAUGAGAAGAAAACAAUGCAAGACAUAGGCAUUUCCGGCUGCAAGGAAAGUAACCAUUCCAUCGAUUGAUGGCAAGACACUAAUCCGUUGAUUGCAUAUAAUAUAUAUGUAUAUGUAUAGCCGGUGCUAUAAUUCUCAUAUGCAUCCUCCUCGACCUACAUUGGUAAGUGCUUACAUACAUAUGCUCAUAUAUUCACAUAUGAGUAGAACGAGAAGUAAAACUGAGAAAGCAGAGCCGCCGACAAAUGUGACUAACAUGACAUGUAUAUCGGUUACUUCAACUUGCACUUUAGGCCUUGCCGGAUUCCUCGCAGCCUGGUGGCCUGAAGGCAAUGAAGCUGACGCAUUGCACCUGGCGCAUGUUGUCGAAGCCGAUGACGCGGACAUAGGCAUCAGGGUACUCCUUCUUGACCUCCUCCACCUCGUUGAGCACCUGUGUGGCGUCGGUGCACCCGAACAUAGGCAGCUUCCACAUUGUCCAGUAUCGACCGUCGUAGUACCCGGGGGAGCUGUUGUGCUCACGGAAGACGAAGCCAACCUUGCUGAACUCGAGGCAGGGCACCCACUUGGAGCGGAUCAAGUAGUCGACCUGCUUCAAGAGGGCCUCCGUGGAGAGGGGUGGCAAGUAAGACAGGGUCUCGAACUUCUUGAUGCCCUCAAUUGGCCACACCUGAAUAGAUGGAAUGAACACAAUUGAUCAACACUUAGUGCUUUAAGAAAGACUUAGCCAUAAGGCAAAAAUUACUCCUGAUGGUCUGUCCAUACAUUGUGGGGGGUCUCCACAAGCAAGAAAGCUCAAGGGCAGCUCUUGCUUAUGGGUAGUGUACGGGCACUAAAAAUGAUAUUAUCCAGUACACAUUGCAAUAAAAACGUUUUCCAUUCACAAAGUUUAUGAGUUAAAUAUUCCUACACAUGUGAACCUGCUUACGGACUACAUUGUGAGGUUUAGUUUGGCCUGGUAUGUGGGUUACACGUUCUAAGGAUAGCUUUGCCUAUGUGCAGUGGAAAUACCCGAUAAAUUAAUCUGACAGCUUAGUGUGCGUAAUCCUUCGUCAAAAAAAUUCAAAAAGGAGCAUAUCCCCAGCCUCUGCAUCAAGCGAUGCACACUGUCAUCUUUAUUAUGUUAUUCAACAGAGUGUAACUUAACAAGUACGAUUUUAAACCUAAGCCAUUUUCGAGAUGGACAAAAUUGUUACACCUACAAGUACGAUGAUGUGCCUUGACCGCUCCAUCCUUCGCAAAAAUAAUAAUUAGUUUUCAUACCUGCAUGCAUCUGAUCCUUCCGCCAUUGCUGACGCUGCUGAGGCCGGUGCUGCCGGAGCGGCAGCUGACGGGGAGGCCGGCGGUCGACUUGAGCCCCUGGAAGGGCGCGACGGUGGUGGCGGAAGAAGCCAUCACGGCUGGGGCCAUGGCGGAGUACGUAAAUUGCUAGGUGGGGAGGCGAUAGCUAGCUAGGC